UAUUACAUUAGGCUGGAUAACCGAAGCAAAAUACAGUUUUCAUAAAAUACGAAUUCUGUAAUCAGGUUGUAGACAUUUUAUGAGUAUGCUGAAUAUGACUAGAAAUUAUUUUCUUAAAACAUCAUAAACCACCUAAAUAAUCUAUGUAAGUGUUACUGUAUUAUUAGGUUUUUUUCAGAGUUAUUUACUGAAUAAAUGACAGUUUACAAUGACAACACAAACAGUUUUUACUGUGCUGGAGGUUUAUGAUAUUUUAUUUCAUAACCCAGAUCGCAUAAAAGAACUAGGAGCAGUGUUGAAAGGGCCAUUGGCCAAUUCAAGCGCAGAUUUCCUGUUCUUCAUGGGGAAAUCAGGUUAAAACCUCAGAAGGCUUGCAAGGUAAUCAUAGCAUGUGCUGUCCUUCACAACAUAUGCAAGGACAGAAACAUUCCAUUACCACCCACAGAUGGGCAUGAUGGAUUUGGAAGGCAUGAUGGGCAGAAUGGAGGUCUACCAGGAAUCACUACACCAGUGGCUGCACUGAGAUAUAGAGAGCACUUCGCCAAUACAAACUUUCCAUCUGCAAUUUCUGUUUUAACAGAGCUUCCACUGUGUGGCAUCUUGGAGCAUCUGGAUGGACUGCUGGCUCCUCAGGACCCAUUCUGGCUCCCUCUGGCUGUGGAUGGGGGU